rnacentral:tRNA from 1 species
GCUGGGGUAGCAAAGCCUGGUAACCCGUGCGCGCAAGCGUGCGGCUAGGGAUUCACUGCGCCGGUCUUGAAAACCGGUGGGCGCAAGCCCGCGUGAGUUCGAAUUCCCUACUGCUGAGAUGCUUUGCACAAGGCGUAGGGCUGAUAAUCUCACCCCCAGCGCCA